GACGAACGCUGGCGGCGUGCUUAACACAUGCAAGUCGAACGAUGAAGCCGGAGCUUGCUCUGGUGAAUUAGUGGCGAACGGGUGAGUAACACGUGAGUAACCUGCCCUUGACUCUGGGAUAACUGCGGGAAACUGUAGCUAAUACCGGAUACGACCCUCGGAGGCAUCUCCUGGGGGUGGAACGGAUUUCGGUCAAGGAUGGACUCGCGGCCUAUCAGCUAGUUGGUGAGGUAAAGGCUCACCAAGGCGAAGACGGGUAGCCGGCCUGAGAGGGUGACCGGCCACACUGGGACUGAGACACGGCCCAGACUCCUACGGGAGGCAGCAGUGGGGAAUAUUGCACAAUGGGCGCAAGCCUGAUGCAGCAACGCCGCGUGAGGGAUGACGGCCUUCGGGUUGUAAACCUCUUUUAGCAGGGAAGAAGCGAAAGUGACGGUACCUGCAGAAAAAGCACCGGCUAACUACGUGCCAGCAGCCGCCGUAA
rnacentral:rRNA from 1 species